ACCCCACCCCAUCUUUUGAAGUUUGACCUCAAAUCAGGUAAGACUACCCGCUGAACUUAAGCAUAUCAAUAAGCGGAGGAAAAGAAACCAACAGGGAUUGCCUUAGUAACGGCGAGUGAAGCGGCAAGAGCUCAAAUUUGAAAUCUGGCGUCUUUGGGCGUCCGAAUUGUAAUUUGUAGAGGUAUCUUUGGAAACGGCCCUGGCAUAUGUUCCUUGGAACAGGACGUCAUAGAGGGUGAGAACCCCGUAUGUGGUUGGGUGUCCGUUUCUUUGUAAAGUGCCUUCGACGAGUCGAGUUGUUUGGGAAUGCAGCUCUAAGUGGGUGGUAAAUUCCAUCUAAAGCUAAAUAUUGGCGAGAGACCGAUAGCGAACAAGUACAGUGAUGGAAAGAUGAAAAGAACUUUGAAAAGAGAGUGAAAAAGUACGUGAAAUUGUUGAAAGGGAAGCGUUUAAAACCAGACACGGUUAAAAGAUGAUCAUCGUCCCUCGUGGGCUGUGCUAUCGCUUUUUUCUGGCCAGCAUCAGUUUGAGUGGUGGGAUAAGAGCAUUGGAAUGUAGCUCUUCGGAGUGUUAUAGCCUUUGUUGAUACCGCUACUUGGACUGAGGUUCUUCACUGAACGCUGGCGUAAUGGUUUUAAGCGGCCCGUCUUGAAACACGGACCAAGGAGUCUAACGUCUAUGCGAGUGUUUGGGUGUAAAACCCGUACGCGUAAUGAAAGUGAACGUAGGUGAGAGCCCUCACGGGUGCAUCAUCGACCGAUC
rnacentral:rRNA from 1 species